CUGUCUAUCUCCCUCCCUGUCAUUCUAUCUCUGCCAUCUCUUCCCAUCCCUCUUCCACUAAUCAAUCUCUUCCCCUUCCUAAUUAAUUUCUCCACUUGAAUGACAAAAAUUGAAUCAACCUAUUGAGCUUGAUCUGUUUUUUCCAAUUCCCCAGCCACCUCUCCAUCUUCUGUCCGUUCACCUCUCCGUAACCGUGCUCCAGCCGCUUCUUCCACUUCUCGCCAUGAAAACAGCGCCACAAUUUCCAAUUCCCUGCAGAUCCCUUCAUCUCCUCCUUCAGUUUCUCAUCUUCAAGGCCAAACGUUGAAUCCUCCUCAAUUGCUAGACUAUUUCUCUAAUAGCUGCAGCACCCCUCUUCCUUUCCUCUUUGUUUAACCACCACACCACUGCCCCAGCCAUGCCGUGCUGCUGUUGCUGCUGCUGCUGCUUCCGCAACACCGUGCUGCAGCAUUGAAGCUCUCCCACUUCGCUUGUACGCCAUUGUCCUGCUGCUCGGUACCUCGAGCCGGUGCCAUCGUCGCAGCCCGAGGGAGGACGGCUGCCAUCACGCCUGCAAGCCGCCUCUCUGCUGGCUGCCGGGAGGUCAAGCCGUUGCCAUCGUCUUCUUGUUUCAAACACUGCUACAUCAUCGAGAGGUCCCUCAAUUGCCGGGGAUUGGUGCAACGUUGUUUUGCCCAUCCACCGCCUCCUGUGCUAUCUUUUAUCAAGCUGUCCACCAGCGCCGACGAUUCUCUGUCAACCACCCGCUGCUGCUGCAACUUCUCCUUUGCGCCACCAACUAAAUGCCAUCAUCGGUGGUGAACCACGUUGCUCCUUCAUGUUCGGUCGCCGUCGCCUGCACGCAGAGGCGCUGCUGCCGUCGUGGAACCAGAGCCGCCCUCUCGCCAUCCACUUCGGAAGCCCAAGCCACUGAUGCCAUCUUCUCCUUUGCUGGAGCUUUGUUGCUUCAUCUUCUCUGCCAUGGCUGGUAAUCCCCUGCACUCCAUCCAUGUACUGUUUUGUUUCCUCCAUUCAAGAUCAAAAUUUAAAUCACUAAUCAUCAGUUAGCCCCGUUUUCACUGUCCCUCCAAUUCUCGGUUGGUUGUUCAUCUCCUUUGCAUAUACCAACGUGAAUUUUUUUGAGAAUUAAUAUUAUUUUUAUGGAAAAUCGCAAAAGUAGUGGUCAACCGGAGAAAAUCGCGAAAGUAGGUCCCUGUCGAACGGGUGCAGUUCGAUAGGGCGCCUAUCGAACGGCCAGAGCGCGACUGGCGAGGAGAUCGGAAGGCUACCGUUCGACAGGACCUGUCGAACAGCCCCCGUUCGACAGGCAGGGCUGUCGAACUGCCCCUGUUCGACAGGAGGGCUGUCAAACUGCCCCUGUUCGACAGGAUAUCCGUCGAACUGGCGUAGUUCGACAGGGUCGCGUUCUCCAUUUAUUUGUAAUAAGUUAUUUUUUUAAUAAUAUGUAAUUUAUUUUAGUGUGUAAGAAAGGAAAAUAUUUUUGUAAUGUUAUAUGUAUAUGAUUUAGGGUUUUGAUAAUGUUUGGUAAGAAAUUGUAGUAUUUUUUUGUUGGUUAAAAUAUUUGAAUUAUUUAGUUUCAUUAUUUUUUGUAUAUUUGAAUGAUAAUUUGUCAUGAUUCAUUUGAAGGAUAUGCUACUAAGUAAUUAUCCGAAGAAGUUUA